GAGGUACUUCCUCCGUCCCAAAAUUCUUAUCUUAGAUUUGUUUAGAUAUGGAUGUAUCUAGUCAAGUUUUAGUAUUUAGAUACAUCCAUUUCUAGACAAAGCUAAGACAAGAAUUUUGGGACGUAGGGAGUAGAUA
rnacentral:pre_miRNA from 1 species